rnacentral:lncRNA from 1 species
AUCCACCCUACCCUCAACCCUUCAAAGCUUCCAGUAAAACAACUAUGCUGCUCUCCACUUCGAUGAGAUCAACUUUUUAAAAUUUUACAUGCGAAGCUACAUCUGAUUCCAGUGGGGCUUUGUUAAUGCGAUCCUUUCUCACUGUACCUGUUGCCUGAUGUUCCAUUGAACUGAGCUUAUCAAGAAGUGCAAUACUGGUGAAAAAGUUAUCGAAUACAAAAUGAUAUUGUCCAGGGUGUGUUUUAGUUUCAGAAAUAUCAGAUUAAGAAAGCUGCU